GGAAGAGUUAUACGCCCGUAUCAAGGCGAGCAUGACUCCUCAAGACCAGAUGAGAGAGGUGUACAGUGCCCUGAAUGCUGGGGGGGCCAGAGUCAAAUCAGCCUUUUACACUGUCCUCCAGCAGAAAGAACCAUACUUGGUUCACGAGCUGGAAGAGUCCAGUGUCGAUGCUAAAGUGAAAAGAUCAGGAGCGGGGCUUCGUAAAGUCAAAGAGAUGCUGAAGGCCACUUUAAAAGACAAGUAUUCCUGCAUCUACGAGGGAACUACCAAGGAGGGUGACAAAGUGUACUUCAACGACAUCUACACCCAGCUGCACAUGGUCAUGAGCACUGGGGGAGAGGCUUCAGACGACAUGAAAGAGCUGGGGUCAGAUGACCUGCAGGAGA
ensembl:lncRNA